CCUACGGGAGGCAGCAGUGGGGGAUAUUGCACAAUGGGGGAAACCCUGAUGCAGCGACGCCGCGUGGGUGAAGAAGCGCCUCGGCGCGUAAAGCCCUGUCAGCAGGGAAGAAAAUGACGGUACCUGAAGCAUAAGCCCCGGCUAAAUACGUGCCAGCAGCCGUGGUAAUACGUAGGGGGCAAGCGUUAUCCGGAUUUACUGGGUGUAAAGGGGGCGCAGACGGCGAUGCAAGCCAGGAGUGAAAGCCCGGGGCCCAACCCCGGGACUGCGCUUGGAACUGCGUGGCUAGAGUGCAGGAGAGGCAGGCGGAAUUCCUGGUGUAGCGGUGAAAUGCGUAGAUAUCAGGAGGAACACCGGUGGCGAAGGCGGCCUGCUGGACUGCAACUGACGUUGAGGCCCGAAAGCGUGGGGAGCAAACAGGAUUAGAUACCCUUGUAGUC
rnacentral:rRNA from 1 species